rnacentral:lncRNA from 1 species
UUUCGGCCCUCAUCCUACCAAGUAUACGGUGGUGGCGAUGGCGGUCGAAACCUCGAAAUCAUAGAUGGCAACGUGUUGAAAUACGUGCAUAAGCCUUGCUACGCUUCAACUUACCCUCCUUCCUUUGAUCAUCAUCAUCAAAAACAGACUGUUCCUAAGAAGAAAAAGAAGUCAUCGUCUCUUUCAAUCAAGUCAUGGUGGAAUGAUCCAAAGAUGAAAAGGAAGAUGAGACUUACGGGCUAUAAAAUGUACGCCAUUGAAGGGAAGAUCAAAACUUCUUUGAAGAAAGCACAUAAGUGGAUCAAGAAGAAGUAUCGUAGUAUCGUGCAUGGUUACUAAUAUAUGAGAGUGGGAGAUAUAUAUGUUUGAUCAUAAAGAAAACACAAGUAUUUUCCAUUUUUUUUUUGUGUUCUUGCUUGGAUGUGCAUCGUUUUAUAUUUUUUAUUUUUUUCUUCGUUGCUGUUGCUGCACUUUUUAGACCACUUGUAAUAGAAAAAAAAUUUAUGUGUUUUCUUUGGUUAUUUUCUUUCAUGAAGAACUUGUAACGUGUUGCAUGAUGAAAAUAUAUGAACAAUAUAUUGAAAUUAUUCACAUGUAACCCCUAAUCAUGAGUCCAUGAAUUUAAUAUGUUUUUCUAACCGUACAACGAAGUAUAUACUAACCCAAGUUAAUUACUAUUUAAUAAUAAUAAUAAUUAUACUAGAAGUCAUAAAUGAGAGAUUACCUGUAAAAAGAGUUGAAUCGGAACGAUGGAGACCACCAGAACUACCCUUACCCAAGAUAAGUUUUGAUGCUGCUUUUCAAAGCUAUACAAAGAAAUCAUGCUCGGGGAUAGUGGGCAAAAAUUCAGAAGGGUCGAUUUUGGGUUCGAGAAUGAUUAUCAACAAUCACGUACUUACUCCUUUCGCGGCAGAAGCGCUUGCAUGCCUCCAGACAAUUCAAGUGGGCCUUUAUCUGGGUUCCCUUACUAUAGUAAGGAAACUACAUGCACAAAACGAAGAUGGAUCUGUCAUUAGUGCGUAUAUUACAGAUGCAAAAUCUUUGAGCGAAAUCUAUGACACAUGUAUUUUUAAACAUGUACUAAGGAAAGAGAACGGAUUGGCACAUCUCCUAGUUACGGAAGGGAUUUGAAGGGGCGAAACAACUUAUCUGGUGGAAAGGGUGCCUUUGUUUGCUGCUAGUGCGGUGGAAAAGGAUAGGCGGAGGUCAGACCCGUCGAAUUAGCUGUUGAUGGCUGUGAUUGCUCGAGAGAUAGAGGUCUUUGGAUUUUGCAUUUUCUGAAAGAGACAGUUUGUUUUCCUAAUAGGCUCCUGUGGUUGAGCUCAUUAAAUCGGCUAGGUUCUCUUUGGUUUUAUCGAAGAGAUGCUUUUAUUUUCUAGGAAAUUGUUAGUUUUUCUUUAUCUUCUACUAACUAUUAUUGUUGUUUUUUUUUUAACCCUAUUAAUAAAUGAAAUUCAG